rnacentral:rRNA from 1 species
AGAGUUUGAUCCUGGCUCAGAACGAACGCUGGCGGCAGGCCUAACACAUGCGAGUCGAGCGAGGACUUCGGUCCUAGCGGCGGACGGGUGAGUAACGCGUGGGAACGUGCCCUUUGCUACGGAAUAGCCUCGGGAAACUGGGAGUAAUACCGUAUGUGCCCUUCGGGGGAAAGAUUUAUCGGCAAAGGAUCGGCCCGCGUUGGAUUAGGUAGUUGGUGGGGUAAUGGCCUACCAAGCCGACGAUCCAUAGCUGGUUUGAGAGGAUGAUCAGCCACACUGGGACUGAGACACGGCCCAGACUCCUACGGGAGGCAGCAGUGGGGAAUCUUAGACAACGGGCGCAAGCCUGAUCUAGCCAUGCCGCGUGAGCGAUGAAGGCCUUAGGGUUGUAAAGCUCUUUCGUGGGGGAAGAUAAUGACGGUACCCCAAGAAGAAGCCCCGGCUAACUCCGUGCCAGCAGCCGCGGUAAUACGGAGGGGGCUAGCGUUGUUCGGAAUUAC